rnacentral:rRNA from 1 species
CCGGAGCUUGCUCCACCGAAAGAAAAGGAGUGGCGAACGGGUGAGUAACACGUGGGUAACCUGCCCAUCAGAAGGGGAUAACACUUGGAAACAGGUGCUAAUACCGUAUAACAAUCGAAACCGCAUGGUUUUGAUUUGAAAGGCGCUUUCGGGUGUCGCUGAUGGAUGGACCCGCGGUGCAUUAGCUAGUUGGUGAGGUAACGGCUCACCAAGGCCACGAUGCAUAGCCGACCUGAGAGGGUGAUCGGCCACAUUGGGACUGAGACACGGCCCAAACUCCUACGGGAGGCAGCAGUAGGGAAUCUUCGGCAAUGGACGAAAGUCUGACCGAGCAACGCCGCGUGAGUGAAGAAGGUUUUCGGAUCGUAAAACUCUGUUGUUAGAGAAGAACAAGGAUGAGAGUAACUGUUCAUCCCUUGACGGUAUCUAACCAGAAAGCCACGGCUAACUACGUGCCAGCAGCCGCGGUAAUACGUAGGUGGCAAGCGUUGUCCGGAUUUAUUGGGCGUAAAGCGAGCGCAGGCGGUUUCUUAAGUCUGAUGUGAAAGCCCCCGGCUCAACCGGGGAGGGUCAUUGGAAACUGGGAGACUUGAGUGCAGAAGAGGAGAGUGGAAUUCCAUGUGUAGCGGUGAAAUGCGUAGAUAUAUGGAGGAACACCAGUGGCGAAGGCGACUCUCUGGUCUG